rnacentral:rRNA from 1 species
ACGGGUGAGUAACACGUAUCCAACCUUUCCCUUACCCGGGUAUAGCCUCGGGAAACUGAGAGUAAUCCCCGAUGUGGUGCACGAGAAGCAUUUUUUGCGCACGAAAGAUUCAUCGGUAAGGGGUGGGGAUGCGUUCCAUUAGGUAGUAGGCGGGGUAACGGCCCACCUAGCCGAUGAUGGAUAGGGGUUCUGAGAGGAAGGUCCCCCACAUUGGAACUGCGACACGGUCCAAACUCCUACGGGAGGCAGCAGUGAGGAAUAUUGGUCAAUGGCCGGAAGGCUGAACCAGCCAAGUAGCGUGCAGGAUGACGGCCCUAUGGGUUGUAAACUGCUUUUGUACGGGAAUAACGGUUGUCACGUGUGAUGAUGUGCAUGUACCGUACGAAUAAGGAUCGGCUAACUCCGUGCCAGCAGCCGCGGUAAUACGGAGGAUCCGAGCGUUAUCCGGAUUUAUUGGGUUUAAAGGGAGCGUAGGCGGAGGAUCAAGUCAGCUGUGAAAUGUAGGCGCUCAACGCCUGCACUGCAGUUGAAACUGGUUCCCUUGAGUGCGUAAGAGGCAGGCGGAAUUCGUCGUGUAGCGGUGAAAUGCUUAGAUAUGACGAAGAACUCCGAUCGCGAAGGCAGCUUGCCGGGCCGCAACUGACGCUGAAGCUCGAAGGUGCGGGUAUCGAACAGGAUUAGAUACCCUGGUAGUCCGCACAGUAAACGAUGGAUACUCGCUGUCGGCGAUAUACGGUCGGUGGCCAAGCGAAAGCGUUAAGUAUCCCACCUGGGGAGUACGCCGGCAACGGUGAAACUCAAAUGAAUUGACGG